GGCAUAAUACAUAAUAAUAGAUAAAACCAAAACAUAAUAUAUGAUCAUUAUAAACAAAGUCAAAUUCAAACAAGGCGCGCACGCUCGCCCAAAUAACUAGAGGGGCACACUAACCCCGAAACCCGGCCACACUAAGUCGGGCAAUUCGGACAUACGGACAUACGGGGUCACUAAGCCAAGGGCUAUAUAAAGCGGGCGGCUGGCCUCAGAAUGGCAGUCGGUGGUCGGAGUCGACCGAGGUGGACGUCACCAGCGAGCGGGAAAGCAGCAAGAUCAGGACCGGGAUCAACAAGUGGGUCCAACAACAUCUGCUUACGUUGAUUCCAGGGUACUCGACGGAAUUCGGAGCGGCCGCGUACGGAAGACCGCGUCCCCGGACGAAGACGCGAGGUACGAAGAGCCUCGCUGUGGGAGACGGAAACUAGGCCGAGGGAGCCCCGUACCGUUCCAUGUAAUUAUUGUAACCGAGAAAAGGAAUAAAUAAACUCUGCGUCUAUAUUUAAGCCUAGUUAAGGUUAA